rnacentral:rRNA from 1 species
UGCAGUCGUACGAUGACAGCAGGAGCUUGCUCCUCCUGAUUAGUGGCGAACGGGUGAGUAAUACGUGAGCAAUGUGCCCUUGACUCUGGGAUAAGCGCUGGAAACGGCGUCUAAUACCGGAUACGACGAUCGGAGGCAUCUCCUGGUCGUGGAAAGAACUUCGGUCAAGGAUCAGCUCACGGCCUAUCAGUUAGUUGGUGAGGUAAUGGCUCACCAAGACGACGACGGGUAGCCGGCCUGAGAGGGUGACCGGCCACACUGGGACUGAGACACGGCCCAGACUCCUACGGGAGGCAGCAGUGGGGAAUAUUGCACAAUGGGCGCAAGCCUGAUGCAGCAACGCCGCGUGAGGGACGAAGGCCUUCGGGUUGUAAACCUCUUUUAGCAGGGAAGAAGCGAAAGUGACGGUACCUGCAGAAAAAGCACCGGCUAACUACGUGCCAGCAGCCGCGGUAAUACGUAGGGUGCAAGCGUUGUCCGGAAUUAUUGGGCGUAAAGAGCUCGUAGGCGGUUUGUCACGUCUGCUGUGAAAACCCGAGGCUCAACCUCGGGCUUGCAGUGGGUACGGGCAGACUAGAGUGCGGUAG